GUGCUCACUCCAGCAGCACAUGUACUGAAAGUGGAACAAUACAGGGAGGAUUAGGUGGCUUGUGUGCAAGGAUGACAUGCAAGCUUGUGAAGCGUUCCAUAUUUUU
ensembl:snRNA U6 U6 spliceosomal RNA